rnacentral:rRNA from 1 species
UCGAGCGGCGAACGGGUGAGUAACGCGUGGAUAACCUGCCCUGAGGUGGGGGAUAACCAAGGGAAACUUUGGCUAAUACCGCAUGAUACCGAGAGGUCAAAGGGGGCUCGCAAGGGCUCUCGCCAUAGGAGGGGUCCGCGUCCGAUUAGCUAGUUGGUAGGGUAAUGGCCUACCAAGGCGACGAUCGGUAGCCGGUCUGAGAGGACGACCAGCCACACUGGGACUGAGACACGGCCCAG